rnacentral:lncRNA from 1 species
GUUUAUGGGAUUAAUCACAUCUUGAUAAUCAGGUAUUUUUUUAAAUCAGGUUGUGGCUUUGGUUUCUUUUACGCUCUGUUUGCAAAGUUCUUUGUCAGCACCCAUUUUAUAAAUCAAACACCUGGAGCUCAGAGGCCCCACAAUGAGCCAGGGGUAGAACUGACUGAAAACAGGAGCUGUCCUUUCUCUGUAGCCUCAGUGCCUUAGCCCUCCUCGGUUCCACGCCCACCCACUCAUCUAUUUGUGGGACCCAGUAUUUCCAAUAAUCGUAGAACUGAACAAUUCAUGUCUAAAUGCAAAGUUUAUUUAAAAGGAUGCCUGAGGUUCCCAUAAGUUUUCCCCAAAGCCUUAUUCAAUAUAUAAUAAAUGUUGACAUUGUGUUCACUUUCCAUUCCUGCAACAAAUGGGAAUUAUUGCCCAUGAAUUGAUUUACACUGGAUGCUGGUAUCAUUGUAUCACCUAAUCAUAGAUGAAAUCAAGAAGACAGCAGGCACGGUCUAGAUGACGACCCUACCGUUGAAAUCAGGAGACACGGACAAAUCAUUGAAUUUCUCUAGGCCUCAAUUUCUUGCUCCAUGAGGUUAAGGGUUCAACCCACACCAGGGUCCAUGACCUGGCCUUUCUGCCUGCAUUCUGGGCACCACAUCUCUCCCAGGCUGGCAGCACCACACAGUUGACACUGUAACGCUUGCCAUGGUCAAGUUCACGCAGUGACAGAGAAGCAGGUGCCAGCGUGUGUGCCUCUGCCUGAAGACAGAUCCUUCCAAGCAAGGAGGGUAGCAGAGGUCUUAGGAGCAGUGCCAUUGGCCCGACUUUGGGAAUUGCUUUCCAACACAGAGUUUGAGAAGUUCUCUGCCUUGGAUUUAAGCUUCUAGAAGCCACCAAAAAUGCAUGCUAUCUUAGGAGCACCAUAUGAUGAGUUUUAAUAAGUGCAUAUACUUAUGACACCAGCCCAGGGAGAAUCAAUACCGACAAAUUUUCAUCUUCAGGAGGUGAAUUUUAUUUCUGGAAAUAUGCAAAAGUUAUAACCAGUCUGAUAAAUAGAGACUUGAAAAAAAUUAAGGAAUAUCAUUUAGGACUAAAAGCAAAACAAAACUCAAAUAUAGCAAACAAAGUAAUGACGUUGUUGUGUAGCUCUGACUUCCUCCGAGGAUUCUUCGUAAGAGAAGUUCUGAAACUAUUUCUCAGUCAAUGAUCAUAGCACCCAAUGUAAAUAUUCU